GAUGAACGCUGGCGGCGUGCCUAACACAUGCAAGUCGAACGGGAACCUCUGGAUUCGUCUGGGGGGGGAGAGGUGGCGAACGGGUGAGUAACACGUAGGUGACCUGCCCUAAAGCGGGGGAUAACCACUGGAAACGGUGGCUAAUACCCCAUGUGCUCCUUGGUUCAUUCCAUUGAGUAAAGCUCCGGCGCUUUAGGAGGGGCCUGCGGCCCAUCAGGUAGUUGGUGGGGGUAAUGGCCUACCAAGCCAAUGACGGGUAGGGGGCGUGAGAGCGUGAUCCCCCACACUGGCACUGAGAUACGGGCCAGACUCCUACGGGAGGCAGCAGUGAGGAAUAUUGCCCAAUGGACGAAAGUCUGAGGCAGCAACGCCGCGUGAGCGAUGAAGGCCUUCGGGUUGUAAAGCUCUUUUCUGGGGGAAGAGGAAGGACGGUACCUCAGGAAUAAGUCACGGCUAACUACGUG
rnacentral:rRNA from 1 species